rnacentral:lncRNA from 1 species
AGCCACCCUCCCGUGAUUAUGAAAUCGGCCUGCAGUGGAGCAGAGCUCUCGCCCAAAGGUCCCCGAGCCGGCAGCGGGCUGCACAGCGGGUUGACACAUGGUGUCACUGGUCCCUAAGCCUGUUCGCUCAGGUCCCUGGAGGAGGGGUGGCCACGCCUGUGGCCUUCGCCCAGGAGUCAAACCACCCUCCAACCAUCCCCUGCUGUCGGUCACAAAGGGACAAAAAGCAAGGAGGUGCGGAGGGCGCCGGGCCAGCCCGCCUCACCGCGAGCGGCUGUGACUUUGCAGACGGCAGACAGCGCCAUGCCACCCGAACAGCACCCGGAUCAGGCAGGCUGCACGCAGGCUGGACGGGUAAACGAGGCGAAAUCAAGAACUUUGACAGCACCUCUUGCACCUUUCACGACAUCGUUGUUUCAUGUUAAGCAGUGUUUACGGAGCGCCGACCCUGUCACCCCGCUGGAUGGACUCAGAAGCACCCCCGAAAGCUUGGCCCUGCCCAGAGCGCAGGUGAGCCCUUUACACGUGGUGAACACAGGUGUCUCUGGUCGUUUCGUCCAGCGCUGAGCAUCCGGGCUGCAGUGAGGAACGUCAUUCCGUCGUUUCCAGGGAGAAUUAGAUUAGAUUUAGAUCAUUUCGACUCUUAAGUGCAUUUUACAAGCCCAGGCUCUCCCAAGCCGGGUGAAAAAAUCGCUCAGAAGUGGAGGAACUCGCUGCAGAGCGCAGCUUUCAGACCCCGCUCCGUCCCUGGGGGUGGCCACCAGGAUCAGGCACAGAGGUUUCGUCUUCCACCCUCCAGUAGCUGAUAACAUCUUUAGAUCCUGGAAAAACAGCGCGUUCACACGGGACUCUUUCUAAUGAUUUAAAGCUUUGCCUAAAUAGGCCUGGGCCUCUCUUAAUCACAAAAGGUUCAAGAAGGGCAGAGGGACGGCCAGUGGAAGCUCAGUUGCUGGAAACCUCUUGGGCCCCAGGUGUUGUGCCUGAGUAUGUAAUCUCCUUAAACCCACAGCACCCCUAUAAGAAGGUAUUAUGGUUAUACCCAUUUUACAGAUGAGACAACAAGGCCCAGAGAGGUAAGCUGACUUGUCAAAAGUCACAUAGCACUGUAACGUGGAGUGGAAGCCAGAGCUGUCCCGCCCCUGUGCUCCUCCCACACCUCACUCCCUGUGUCCUGGGGAACAGUGUCUGGGAGCCUUUCCCCAGCCUGACCCUGAGCCAGGCUCCACUUCAGCCCCCAGCCUGUGCCCGACUGACUCCCUCUGCCAGCCCUGGGGGGAAACGCCAGCACAGGGGCCCUCUUAGGCAAUACACAAACGGCCACUUCUUGUCUUGUUUUGAAGCUACAGGGUCUUUGCCGUGAAUGCGAGCGUUUCUAAGUG